rnacentral:misc_RNA from 1 species
CCAAUAGCGUAUAUUAAAGUUGCUGCAGUUAAAAAGCUCGUAGUUGAAUUUCGGGACUAAUAUGUCGGUCGUGCCUCGGUACGUACUGGUAUUUUUGGUUUCUCCCUUCUGACGAACCUUGAUGUCAUUAAUUUGGUGUCUUGGGAAAUCAGGACUGUUACUUUGAAAAAAUUAGAGUGUUUAAAGCAGGCUCACGCUUGAAUACAUUAGCAUGGAAUAAUGAAAUAGGACGUUUGAUUCUAUUUUGUUGGUUUCUAGGAUCGACGUAAUGAUUAAUAGGGAUAGUUGGGGGCAUUAGUAUUCAAUUGUCAGAGGUGAAAUUCUUGGAUUUAUUGAAGACUAACUACUGCGAAAGCAUUUGCCAAGGAUGUUUUCAUUAAUCAAGAACGAAAGUUAGGGGAUCGAAGACGAUCAGAUACCGUCGUAGUCUUAACCAUAAACUAUGCCGACUAGGGAUCGGAUGAUGUUAAUUUUUUAAUGACUCAUUCGGCGCCUUAC